rnacentral:tRNA from 1 species
AGGGGCUUAGGAUAAUUGUAGACCGGGAGCCUUCAAAGCUCUAAGUAGGGGUUAAAAUCCCCUAGUCCCUGC